CGCCCCCCGGCCGCCCCAAUCAUUCCGGACCCGGAGCCGAACCCCUCACUCCAGCCCCCGGCUCUGCAGCUGCCCAGAUGUGGCAGCACAGCUGGAGGAGCUGCAGCAGGUGCAAAUCCUGCCUUUGGCUGCAGAGGUGUUUUGUGUGGAUUUAGCGGGUGAUGCUCGUGGCUGGCAGCCCAGCUCCUUCCCCAUGGACGGUUUUCAAGGACUUCCCUUUGCAGCUGAGGCCGGCCAGCUCGGGCCGCUGGUGCUCGGUGUGCCCACACCAGCCGGGCUCAGCUCCUGCUCCGCUCGCCCGUGCUGGAAGCGGGAGGCGCUGGCCCCCGGGAAGCAGUUAAAGCUGAACUCCAAACAAUAAAAACUUAUCAUUAAAAAGAAA